GAUGAAGAACGUAGCGAAAUGCGAUAAGUAAUGUGAAUUGCAGAAUUCAGUGAAUCAUCGAAUCUUUGAACGCACAUUGCGCCCCCUGGUAUUCCGGGGGGCAUGCCUGUUCGAGCGUCAUUUCACCACUCAAGCCUCGCUUGGUAUUGGGCAACGCGGUCCGCCGCGUGCCUCAAAUCGACCGGCUGGGUCUUCUGUCCCCUAAGCGUUGUGGAAACUAUUCGCUAAAGGGUGUUCGGGAGGCUACGCCGUAAAACAACCCCAUUUCUAAGGUUGACCUCGAAUCAGGUAGGGAUACCCGCUGAACUUAAGCAUAUCAAUAAGCGGAGGA
rnacentral:misc_RNA from 1 species